rnacentral:rRNA from 1 species
ACGGGGUGCAGCAGGCGCGAAAACUUCGCAAUGCGCGAAAGCGUGACGAGGUCACUCCGAGUGCCGCCCGCUGAGGAUGGCUUUUGCCCGGUUUAACUAGCCAGGUGAAUAAGGGGAGGGCAAGUCUGGUGUCAGCCGCCGCGGUAAUACCAGCUCCCCGAGUGGUUGGGACGAUUAUUGGGUCUGAAGCGUCCGUAGCCGGCCGAAAAAGUUCCCCGUUAAAUCUGACGAUCCAAUCGUUGGGCUGCGGGGAAUACUCUUCGGCUUGGGGGCGAGGGAGGUCGGCGGUAGUCCUGGGGUAGGGGCGAAAUCCUAUAAUCCCAGGAGGACCACCAGUGGCGAAGGCGGCCGACUAAAACGCGCCCGACGGUGAGGGACGAAAGAUGGGGGAGCGAACGGGAUUAGAUACCCCGGUAGUCCCAGCUGUAAACGAUGCAGGCUAGGUGUUGGGACGGCUACGAGCUGUCCCAGUGCCGCAGGGAAGCCAUUAAGCCUACCACCUGGGAAGUACGGCCGCAAGGCUGAAACUUAAAGGAAUUGGCGGGGGAGCAC